AAUAGUCGAAAGCUAGUUUUGUUAGCUACACGUUUGUUGUUUACAUUGUUAUGCAGUCAGUUUGUUACAUGUAUGUUUGUUUACAGUAAAUGUUUUUUUUUACAUGUAUGUAUGUCAGUGUCCACCUAUGUUUGUACCGUACAUGUUGGUUUGUUUAAUGCAGUAUGCAGUGACAGUAUGUUUGUUUCCAGUAAAUGUUUUUUUUUUUACAUGUAUGUAUGUCAGUGUACCGUAUGUUGUUUACGUUUACAUGUUGGUUGAUUUACAUGUCUGUGUUUCAGGUACAUGUAUGUUUGUUUACAGUACAUGUUGGUUGUUUUACAUGUGUGUAUGUCGCGUACCACUUUAAGUUGUUUACCGUACAUGUGGUUUGUUUACAGUAUGUUAGGUACACUAGUUUGUUUACCACUGUUUAAAUGUACGCUUUACAUGCAGUUUAACAUUUCAGCCCUGUUGACCCCUAGAAACAUCUUAGCCCUGUUGACCCCUAGAACAUAUCAGCCGUAAACCCCUAGAACAUUAUUAGGGCCCUGUUGACCCAUAGGGAGAACAUAUCAGCCUGUUAACAAUAGAAC
rnacentral:lncRNA from 1 species